CUUCAACCAAGUUUGUUGUCUAUACUCCAAAACCAACUAGGGGUGGCACUAGAUGCACUUACAUGGAGCUUUGUGAUCCAAGACGAACAUGGCGAUGUUGUGGGAUCAAGAGUGGAUAGAAUGGAUCAUGUUCAGGAUACCUUGCAAGUGGAGGCGGAGGCAUGUAUCUCUACUCCUAAUGGAGAAGUUGGUAGUCUCCGCCGGUCAAUUUUCGUCCCACCAGAGAUGGUUAAUUUUCGUCCUCAAUCCCACCUCCCGCAAACCAGCCAUUCCCCCCUUCCACCCUCGAGACCGACAAAAAAACGGUAUGCUACCACGAGGCCCGUUGUGAAACACUACGGUUCAUCGAUAGAAAAUUGUCCUAAAAAAAUCUACUACGGUUAACCUACCAAAAUUAGCCAGACGCUUGCACCUACGAGCGAUUCCUCGUGCCCCUCGAUCCCCUCGAGACACAGGGCUCCUCUCCCGAGCGAGGUCCCGAUCCGCUCCUCCCCUCUCUCGAGGAUACGCAACCGCUGCCUUCGCCGAAUUCGCCGCUGUCGAUCUGCCGAUCCGGGCAGCGCAGCCGCCGCUACCGCCGUCGAUCUGCCUAUCCAGGCAGACGCGGCCGUCAUGGAUCACGAGAACGCCGGCGCCGCCGGCGCCUCGAAUACGUCACCCCGCUCGGCAUGGAUGGCCGCCCCAAGACAUGGAUAAGCUCUCGUGAUCCCCACCCCACCCCUCUCAUCCCCUGAAUCCAUAUCCUCCUUCCCGUCUUGAUCCCGCCCAUGAUCUGAUCAGGAAGCUGCCCACGAUCUGAUCCCCUGGUUUCUUAUCCGGUUAUCCUCCUCUCUUCUCUCGCACGGGCGUUCUAGCAACCCCCAUCUUCGGUGUGGCAACGUUGCUGACGUCGUCGCGGCCUCCCGCAAUUCCAGGCUUGGCCUUCCUCAACUCCAUGUGCGGCUGACGAGGUGGUCUUCUCCAGAGGUGGUCUGCUCGUGCUCUCCUGGUUCUUCCAUAACAACGAGGGGUAGUGCCGGUCGUGGCUCAGCAGGAUAGCAUAAGCUUGCCCUUGUUCUUUUGUGUUUGAAUCAGAUUUGUUGGUUCUUAGUUUUACAUGCACCUAUCAAUCUUUCUUCUGUAUGCAGGUUACACACCUGAUGAUGUUUACGGCGAGGCGCAAGAACAAGCAGAGGCCGAGGAAGUGUGGGCACGCGCGAGGAAGGUUCAGCGGGCUGCAGAAGUCGGGCCACGCCCGGAGCGCCGCGCCAACGCAUGUGUGCGUGGUCGGUGGGUUGGCCAAGAUCUGCAUUCUGCGACUUCGUCUUCACCAUGGACACAAGCAAGGACUGAUUCGUGGGUCUUGGUAGUGGUGCCGAGCAUCGGCGGAUCGAAGUGGUCGAAGUCGCGGUUAAUCGACCAGGACGAGACAUGCAUCUUGGAGCUAGCGCGGAGGGGGAAAGAAGCAGGUUGGUCUGGCCCGACCUCACAAAUGAAUUGGUAUGUCCAGUUCUUCCCAUGAAGGUCACAUGCCUAACUUCGUGCUAGACAUUGCUAACUCGGCCACUUGAUGUUAAACUCUGUAUGCAUACUUGACCUAGCUAACUCCAAGAUUCGAUGUGUUAAAUUAAAGUACCAAUCAGGCAGGUUCACCACUUUGUACGUGUGUGCUCUUGCAUUGCUUACUAGAUCUUGUUGUAUAUGAUGGUCCAUUGUCAGCUAUACAACUUCUGAAUUCUGUCAAGUUCAGUUCAGAUUUGAUUUUUUUUCACCUCUUUUUGCAUGGACAGUGUGUCUGGUGUUUAAAUGAUGGCUACUUGAAAUUCAUAGGCAUUGUGAGGUUAGAAAGGAUUCCUUUUUGACUAUUUUUUCAGUUUGGUUCAAAGUUGUUAGCUGCUACACCUACACGUGGAAAACGGCAUUCUAAAAUUGUAAAGUUGCUGGGGCAACAACCUGCUGCUGGCGGGGAAGCAAGUCGCCUUCUGGGGCGGGCGGGGUAACAACGGCAGGGACCAGCCCCUGUCCGUCUUUGGGAUCCCGAAGUACCAUUACAAGUAUGGCAACUACUCCUCCGUUGCAAUCCUGGUUGUAGUAUUAAGAUCACAUGAUCAAUGAAUUGUAAAUUUGAAAUAUAUCAGCUUGACUGUGUAAUGCAUUUGAUCUAAGGAUAGGAUAAGAUAUGCAAGCCAGGUCAUAGUCGUUUCUCCGUGCGUCAAUUAGAAUUCGUACGUUCAUGGCACCUCCAGAAAUGCAUGCAUGCAACUUAUACCAUGAUCUUAUUGUGAAUGUUAGUGUUGGUGUGAGUAGCCAGAAGCAAAGUAACAUUUUUCUGAUUGCUCCAUGUUAUUGUGUUGGUUGUUCUGGGAUCUACAGAAGGCUACCAAAAAGGUCACAACGAUUCUGUGCCAUGGAUCAUUUGGUCUUGUGUACAAGGCUAUAACGGCUACUGGUGAAGUCAUGGCGGAAAAGGUUCUUGCGACGCCGCUGCUACUUGGUGCCCGACGCACCCAAGGCAUCGGUUGCCGUCCCUGUUCUCCCGGUGGCCCUCUCGUCAUGCAUUCAAUUGGUCGAGUAGUUCGUCACAGCCGCUGAGGAACGGGACCAUAGCAAACCAUUGCAAUGCGGCAACCCAAAUUUCAAUUCCACGGUGUUCUGUGCGCAUCAGUAAGUUGUUUAUCUUGCUUUCACUUUCAAAUUCCUUGCUGAAUCACUACAAGCAUGUGUUCCUAUCUCCUACAUGUCUCUAAAUUCUAAGAUGUGAAAUUAUGAAUAUUUUUCUGUAAUAUAUUUCAUGGUUUUGUGGCUUAUGCCUUGCAAGAUUUUUGCCAAUGCGGAAGUGCACAAUCCUUUUGAAUUUAUAUAAUUUAUAUCCAUUCUAUUGAGGUGGAAUGUACCUUGCAGCUUAUCAUGUGUGGUGUAAAAGAGAAUGCAUGUAAGAUCAAACAAGCUUAUCAUCGCAGAGUCGCAUCUUGCAGAGUCUUUGACCAUAAUUGAUCUGAAGCUGCAUUUUGGCAAUUUUAUUUUAUAACUUAGUGGCUAUUAUUGUAUAAGACUGCUCACUUCUCUCGUAAGUUUGUUAGCUACCAUGAUCAUCUGUUGGUAUAGAUAAUUAUUUGGAUGACAUUACUUGACAACAAAAAUUAAUUUUAUGCAGCUAAGCACAUUGAGUCAUGUAUUUUUCCUCUUCAACAUAAGAACAAGAGGAGAAAAUAAUGGAUGGAGGAAGAAGAGUGAUUUUGUGGUACAAAAAUGUUGGCAAUGUUUCAUUAAACUAUGUCAUCUGAUGUGCUUGAUUCUUCCAUAGGUACAUGUUUGACAUACUUAAUGUUAAUAUUGAACCACCAGAAUAUAUUGCUACAUGAUGUAAUGAGAUGAGAUCUCAACGUCCAGACUGCGGUUGAUCCAUUAUGCACCAUGAAAAAUAUAAUAACUCUGAGGACCUUAUUGCCAGCGAGCCUCAUGGUGAAGUUCUUCUGCAAUGAUGCCGAGGAUUUGAUCUUGGCUUGCAUGGACCAA